GGUUACGGCUCAGUGGUAGAGCACUGGCCUGGCAUGUGUGAGGCACUGGGUUCGAUCCUCAGCACCG
rnacentral:tRNA from 1 species